rnacentral:lncRNA from 1 species
AGUAGCUUCGAACUUGCCAACAACAAUCGUCGAGCACACAUAAAAAUGGCUUCGAUAUGUAUACUUUGGUUUGCUUAAGUCAUGAGUUAAAGACCAGAUUCAUCAAAUACAUGUAAGUUUAGUCUCGAUCUUGUAUGAUGUGUUUCAAGUGUUUGCCAUCCAAAUUCUUUGAGUGAAUGAUCAAAUAUGGAUGAAACAAUUUAUGUAUGAUAAAAAUUAAUUAUAGCUUUCUUAAUUGUAAUCAAGCAGCAUGACUACAUAAGCAGUUUGGAAAUUUGGAUAUUUUCAAUCUCCAAAUUUCAUACGAAAUUUAUCUACUCAAAAUUUGAUAACUUUAGAAGAUGAAAGUUUAGAUGCGUAUGCACCGCACCGUAUCUAAAAGGCAGACAUAAUAAUGCCAUUUUCUUGUUGUCAUAUGAAUUUGUAGCACAUAUCUGUAGUUUUUUUUUAUAUUAUUAUUCCUAGUUGAUUUUCAAUUACAAUAUGCAUCCUUUUCUAUAACGUAUUUAUAGGUUUAGUCAUCACUAUAUAUCUUUGUUUAAAUCAUUCUCCCACUCCUUAAAUCAUAAGAAAAUAAUCAUCCGUAAAUUUUAAGGGUUCCGUCCCCUUUACCCAAAAAUUAGCCGUAAGAUAAGAAAAUUAAUUACAAUGAAAUAGUAUUUAGACGUGUUUAUAAGGUCACUCGGUGUGCGGACGUCCCCGUCACGUCCAGGCCCAGCGCCGUCCCAAACACCACUUCCAACGGCCAAUCGUCGUCCUCAGCGUCGCACCAUCGACGUCCAAGCCGGCCCUCCUUCUUCUCACACACACCUAUACAUACACACACACACACACACACACAUAUAUAUAUAUAUAUAUAGGGGGAGGUUCAUUU